ACUACGGGGUGCAGCAGUGGGGAAUAUUGGGCAAUGGGCGCAAGCCUGACCCAGCAACGCCGCGUGAAGGAAGAAGGCUUUCGGGUUGUAAACUUCUUUUCUCAGGGACGAAGAAAGUGACGGUACCUGAGGAAUAAGCCACGGCUAACUACGUGCCAGCAGCCGCGGUAAUACGUAGGUGGCAAGCGUUAUCCGGAUUUAUUGGGUGUAAAGGGCGUGUAGGCGGGAGCGCAAGUCAGAUGGGAAAACUCAGGGCUCAACCCUGGGCCUGCAUUUGAAACUGUGUUUCUUGAGUGCUGGAGAGGCAAGCGGAAUUCCGUGUGUAGCGGUGAAAUGCGUAGAUAUACGGAGGAACACCAGUGGCGAAGGCGGAUUGCUGGACAGUAACUGACGCUGAGGCGCGAAAGCGUGGGGAGCAAACAGGAUUAGAUACCCCUGUAGUC
rnacentral:rRNA from 1 species